rnacentral:tRNA from 1 species
AGUCCAGAAGGUAUUAGAUUGCAAAUCUGAGAGUGGGUAGGAUUACCCCUGGGCUU